GAGCAGUCAGCUGAUCCAGGUGUUGUUAUUCAUCACUGAGAGCAGAUUUCCUUGGACCUGUCCCUGAUUCUGCCCUGAAUCCCUGAGUGAGGCUGAGGACACCCUGGGCCUGAUGGACCUUCAUCCUUCCCUCUGCUCCUCUUCUUCAUGCUGUCUGUGCUUUAGUCUGUUUUAAAUACAGCUGUUAGCUCUCACCUGUGCACACAGUAACAUCUGCUCAGGAAGCAGGUUCAGUAACUCUGAGUUUCCUGUUGUCAUCUGUGCAGGUUUCAGACUUGCUCACAGACGCUGUGCUGCACUCUAACACACUCUCACACUGAUGGAGGCUGCAGACUGUUUAGCACAGAGGUCCUCUGACUGCCAAUCCACAGUCUCUGAUUGGUGGGGACCCGCUGUACCCCUGAACCACAGACAGAAGCAGUGGUGAGACCUGAGGACACAGGUGUGAAUGAGGGUCUGUGACCUCCUCAGAGAGCUGAGUCUGUGUGACAGAGCGUGGAUGUGAGCCUGAGUCGGCAGGUUUCUGUAGUCACACAGCAGGAAACACUCACUGUGAGCUCAGCAGCAUUAACAUGCACUGAGAGCGACACACACAACUACUGUCUGUCCCCUCUGAUGUCCACACAGACACACUUAGGCUGCAGCAGGUGCAGCAGGUGCAGCAGGUGAGGUCAAACACAGAAGCACUGAGAUGAGCCGACAGCGCCCUCUGCUGGUCCCAGUUUGAGCUGCUGCUGUUAGUCCACAGACCAUAUUUGUUCAUUCCUUUUUCCUCCUACAUGCUCUCCUUCACACUCUUACAUGUUUGUACUAAAGAUCAGGAGUUAUGGCUUUCUAGAUGCGUGUCAUCUGUUGCCAUGGUAACUGACCCUGUUCAAGUUAUCCUUCUUACUGGGACCAAAAGCUGGAGUUUCCUUCAUCUGAGGAUUAACAAACUCAAACCAUCAAACCUGCUUCCUGGAACAGAACCUGUGUGUGUG